rnacentral:rRNA from 1 species
UACGGGGGGGGUAAGCGUUGUUCGGAAUCACUGGGCGUAAAGCGCACGUAGGCGGAUUCUUAAGUCAGGGGUGAAAUCCUGGAGCUCAACUCCAGAACUGCCUUUGAUACUGAGAAUCUCGAGUUCGGGAGAGGUGAGUGGAACUGCGAGUGUAGAGGUGAAAUUCGUAGAUAUUCGCAAGAACACCAGUGGCGAAGGCGGCUCACUGGCCCGAAACUGACGCUGAGGUGCGAAAGCGUGGGGAGCAAACAGG